rnacentral:rRNA from 1 species
AUUGAACGCUGGCGGCAGGCCUAACACAUGCAAGUCGAGCGAGCGGCGGACGGGUGAUUAAUGUAUGGGGACUGCCCGAUGGAGGGGGCGAACUACUGGAAACGGUAGCUACUACCGCAUACUAACGGACAACCCAUAUUGGAUUAGCUAGUGGGUGAGGUAAUGGCUCACCUAGGCGACGAUCCCUAGCUGGUCUGAGAGGAUGAUCAGCCACACUGGAACUGAGACACGGCCCAGACUCCUACGGAGGCAGCAGUGGGGAAUAUUGCACAAUGGGCGCAAGCCUGAUGCAGCCAUGCCGCGUGUAUGAAGAAGGCCCUAGGGUUGUAAAGUACUUUCAGUCGGGAAGCGUUACCGACAGAAGAAGCACCGGCUAACUCCGUGCCAGCAGCCGCGGUAAUAC